AUUUACGUAGUUUAAAUAAAACGACUCAUUUUCAAUGAUUAAAUAAAUUAAAUUUUCGUAAAUA
rnacentral:tRNA from 1 species